ACUUUGGAAAACAGCACAAAUCAAGUAUUUUGCUACUGACUAGCUAUAUUUUAAAUUAACACAUCACAUCUGUCCACAGUAGACCACUG